rnacentral:rRNA from 1 species
UCUCUAUGCGGUGCCAGCAGCCGCGGUAAUACGAAGGGUGCAAGCGUUACUCGGAAUCACUGGGCGUAAAGCGUGCGUAGGCGGUUCGUUAAGUCUGCUGUGAAAGCCCUGGGCUCAACCUGGGAACUGCAGUGGAUACUGGCGGGCUAGAGUGUGAUAGAGGAUGGUGGAAUUCCCGGUGUAGCGGUGAAAUGCGUAGAGAUCGGGAGGAACACCAGUGGCGAAGGCGGCCAUCUGGAUCAACACUGACGCUGAGGCACGAAAGCGUGGGGAGCAAACAGGAUUAGAUACCCUGGUAGUCCACGCCCUAAACGAUGCGAACUGGACGUUGGUUGCAACUUGGCAAUCAGUGUCGAAGCUAACGCGUUAAGUUCGCCGCCUGGGGAGUACGGUCGCAAGACUGAAACUCAAAUGAAUUGACGGG